rnacentral:rRNA from 1 species
GUACACUCCUGCGGGAGGCAGCAGUGGGGAAUAUUGCACAAUGGGCGCAAGCCUGAUGCAGCCAUGCCGCGUGUAUGAAGAAGGCCUUCGGGUUGUAAAGUACUUUCAGCGGGGAGGAAGGCGAUAAGGUUAAUAACCUUGUCGAUUGACGUUACCCGCAGAAGAAGCACCGGCUAACUCCGUGCCAGCAGCCGCGGUAAUACGGAGGGUGCAAGCGUUAAUCGGAAUUACUGGGCGUAAAGCGCACGCAGGCGGUCUGUCAAGUCGGAUGUGAAAUCCCCGGGCUCAACCUGGGAACUGCAUUCGAAACUGGCAGGCUAGAGUCUUGUAGAGGGGGGUAGAAUUCCAGGUGUAGCGGUGAAAUGCGUAGAGAUCUGGAGGAAUACCGGUGGCGAAGGCGGCCCCCUGGACAAAGACUGAUGCUCAGGUGCGAAAGCGUGGGGAGCAAACAGGAUUAGAAACCCGAGUAGUCCCA